ACGGGGCGCAGCAGGGGGGAAUUUUGCGCAAUGGGGGGAACCUUGACGCAGCGACGCCGCGUGUGUGAUGAAGGCCUUCGGGUUGUAAAGCCCUGUUGGGGGGGAAGAUAAUGACGGUACCCCCUGAGGAAGCCCCGGCUAACUACGUGCCAGCAGCCGCGGUAAGACGUAGGGGGCGAGCGUUGUCCGGAAUUACUGGGCGUAAAGGGCGUGUAGGCGGCUUUUCAAGUCGGCUGUGAAAUUUCCCGGCUUAACCAGGGGGGUGCAGUCGAAACUGAUGGGCUUGAGUGCAGGAGAGGGUGGUGGAAUUCCCGGUGUAGCGGUGACAUGCGUAGAUAUCGGGAGGAACACCGGUGGCGAAGGCGACCUCCUGGCCUGUUACUGACGCUGAGGCGCGAAAGCUGGGGGAGCAAACAGGAUUAGAUACCCUGGUAGUCCCAGCUGUAAACUCUGGGUACUAGGUGUGGGGGGCUUCGAUGCCCUCUGUGCCGUAGUUAACGCAUUAAGUACCCCGCCUGGGGAGUACGAUCGCAAGGUUGAAACUCAAAGGAAUUGGCGGGGGAGCACA
rnacentral:rRNA from 1 species